rnacentral:rRNA from 1 species
AACGAACGCUGGCGGCAUGCCUAACACAUGCAAGUCGAACGAAACCUCCGGGUCUUGUCGCGCACGGCUUCGUCACGCGUGGGAACCUGCCCUUAGGUUCGGAAUAACUCUCCGAAUGGGGUACCAAUACCAGAUAAUGUCUUCGGCCCAAGGAUUUAUCGCCUUUGGUUGGGCCCGAGUUGGAUAAGCUAGUUGGGAGGGUAAAAGCAUACUAAGGCGACGAUGCAUAGCUGGGUUGAGAGGAGGAUCAGCCACACUGGGAGUGAGACACGGCCCAGAAUCCUACGGGAGGCAGGAGUGGCGAAUAUUGGACAAUGGGGGAAAGGCUGAACCACUAAUGACGGGUGAGCGAUGAAGGUCGGAGGGUUGUAAAGCGCUUUUACCCGGGAUGAUAAUGACAGUACCGGGAGAAUAAGCCACGGCUAACUCCGUG